GGAAUUUAAAGACCAAAUUCACGAGAGCAAUUCGUUUCUCAAUAUUAACAUGCACCACCAUAUACAGCAACUAUCACAAACAAAAUCGCAGGUGAAAAUAAUAUCUAUAAAAUAAAAACCAUGUUGAUUUUCAUUACCAACAUCUAAAGAUCUAACAUGCCUUCUCCAAGAAUGGAUUCACGACAGAGAAGCUUCGAAUGCUCCUUCUCCACUUGCAUCCACACAUCAAAUCUCUAAAGCCGAUGUGAGUCUGCUCCCAUGCAUCUCUAGGAGAAAAGAAGCAUUAAAGAAAAUUUGCAGGAUUCUCAAUACAGCAAGGAGGAUGUCGAAAUUUCCGUUCUGUCCAGAAACAUUAUAUUCAUUGCCUUUCAAUCCUCGUGUCCAAAUGUUGUCCUCGACAAAUCUAUGUACCCCACAGCUCAUCAAAGAGAGCAAGUUUCAAGUUACAGUCAGUUCCAUUAGGCUCCCUUUUUCUUUUGUUCUUUGGAUGGUUUUUCAUCUUUUGUGAGCAUCCUUGGUGCUUAGGCCAUGGCCAUGAGCUCUUGGAAGAGCAGCUUACAGGCAUAAGGAAUGUGCACCUGAACAAUGUCAGUCUUAUUCUUGCAACCUCUGCAUUCAAAAGAAUUCUUCUUGAGAUUUGCAACUGCUAUCAAUCACACCACUCACAAACAUGGACCCAAUAGGCAUCGCUCUGAUCAAACAGCCUCUCUUUGAGAAAGUGUGCCGCACCAUGUGCGAUCAUGCAAUCUCGUUCCAUUUCCCCAAAGCGGAGGCCGCCAUCACGUGAUCGUCCUUCAGCAGGUUGCCUUGUGAGGAUCUGCACAGGACCCCUUCCACGUGAAUGGAUCUUGUCAUCAACCAUGUGCUUCAGCCUUUGGUAAUAAGUGGGGCCAAGGAAAAUCAUAGCAGUAAGCCGCCGGCCAGUGUGGUCAUUAUACAUGGUCUCAAACCCACGCACUUGAUACCCACGUUUAUGGAGAGCCCUGCUAAUGUUGUCCACCUAAAAAUCAAAUGAGAAUAGAUGAUAAGUACACAUCAAAUAAGUUGACAUCAGAUUACUCAAAUACAGACUCGAGCAAUCUACAGGGACGUCGGUAAAUGGAGUAGCAUCCCCUUCCUUUCCCAUGUGAGCUGCAACCUUCCCCAUAAUACACUCGAUAAGCUGACCAAUUGUCAUUCGAGAAGGAAUAGCAUGAAGAUUCACAAUGAUAUCAGGAGUGAUGCCUUCCACAGUCCAAUGCAUGUCUUCUUGAGUGCAAGUCAUGCCUACUGUUCCCUUUUGACCAUGCCUACUGCUAAACUUGUCUCCAAUCUGAGGUAUGCGAACAGACCUCACCCUUACUUUAACAAACCUCAACCCAUCAGCAUUUGUUGUCAGAAGAACUUGAUCCACUAUUCCCGUUUCACUGUGGCGCAAGCUUAUGCUGUGAUCACGCCUUGUAUAACGUGCAGACUGUCCCUGAGCUUCAUCUUGGGAAAUAGAAGUGGUCUUUCCAAUGAUUACAUCCUCACCUGAAACUCUUGUACCUGGAGGUGCAAGACCAUCAUCAGCCAAUUUAUCAUAAGAGCCAUGCCGCAUGCCCAUUGUAUUAGCUCUGUCUGGACGCCCAAAAUCCUCUCUGACAAGUGUGCCCAUCUUUUUCUCCUCAUCCCUAUAUGAAUGGAAGAAAGUGAUCUGAAGAAUCCAUGGUCAAUUGAUGAUUGGUUCAUAAUGACAGAAUCUUCUUGAUUGUAUCCAGAACAGCAGGCAAUGGCAACAAUAGCAUUAAUGCCAGCUGGAAGCUGCCUAAAGUGAAGGUGCUCCAUAGCUCUUGUAGCAACAAGUGGUUUUUGAGGAUAAUAAAGAACAUAAGCCAAUGUCAUUUGAAAUUGAUAGUUGGUAACAUAUAUUCCCAUCGCUUGCUUUCCCAUAGCAGAUUGAUAUGUGUUACAUGGGGACUGGUUAUUAUCUGGAAAAGGAAUAAUUGAAGCACAAGCACCUAAAAUCAAUGAUGGGUGAAUCUCACAGUGGGUGUAAGUAUCAGCAUAUGCUUCCUAUGGGUUAAGCCUUGCUUGUACAAGAUCCUGGACCCAUAAUUCGCAAUUGUGAUUUCAUCUGUUGUUCACAACCUCCUAAUUACAUAGCGUAGAGAUGCAUUACAUUAGCAGAUUUCUAUCAAUCAAAACUGUUUUACUUAAAUGGAUGGUCAUGGAUAUCAUAGUGGUCUCUUCUUCCUCUGUGUCAAUAUAUUCCAUAAAUCCUUUUGCCACAAGAUCAUGCCAACAACCCUCUUCUAAGGAUUCCCUCUGCUUCAGAGUAUGAAUGUCCUUCUUCUUGAUGAGAAGCCUUUGUUUCUCAACAAUGAACAAAGGACGACUGCAACGGCCAUAGUCUGUGUAUAUUCGCAGCUCUUUCAAACGAAUAUCUCUAACGACCCCAACUUCAGUGUUGACAUCAACCCGUCUCCUCAGCCGUCUCAAUGUCUUGACCAACAUAUCAGGAUUACGAUGGAUGCCUACCCAGCAACCAUUAACAAAAAUUUUUGUAGCUUGAGGAAUAACUGCAGGAGAUAUUUCCUCAAAAUUCUCAGUACCCCAUUCCUCCAAAAAUUCCAAGAUAGGAUACGCAGCAGAUCCAACAGUUAUGUACACCAUCAAUGCAAGAUUCUUCACCAGUCCACAAGCUUGUCCUUCAGGUGUUUCAGCUGGACACAUCAUUCCCCAUUGUGAAUUAUGCAACUGCCUAGGUUUAGCCAAUUUCCCUUCACGCCCAAUUGGAGAAUUCAAUCUUCGUAAGUGUGACAAGGUAGAUGCAUAUGUCAAACGAUUUAACACCUGUGACACUCCAGCUCUUGUACCAGCUGCAUUUGCUUGCCCCCAGUUACCAGUGGCUAGCGAGUAUUUAAGACCACUAGUAAUGGUUUUUGAUUUAAUGGAAAAUUGCAAAUUAACAUCCUUUCCGUUAUCUACACACUUUUGCACAUAAGAUCUGACAUCCCUAGUCAACUUUCUGAAUAACAUUCUAAAGAGUCCACCAAGUAAAGGACCAGCAAGGUCAAGUCUUUUGUUGCCAUAAUGAUCCCUGUCAUCUUCUGCCCUCCGGCCAAGUGCACAAAGUAGAAGCCGGUGAAUUAUGUACCCAAAAUAGUAAGCUUUUUUGGUCUCACAAUAUUCUCCAACACCAACAUGAGGAAGCAUUUCCUUUUGAAGGAUCUCUUUAGCAUAUUUUAUCCUUUUUUCCCUAGUUACACCAACAGUUGCUCCACGCUUUCCAAUGUAAUCUAGUGCAACCUGUUGAUUUUGAAUCACAAAUGCUUCUUCAAGAGAAGGCCGAAGCAACUCCAUCAUUUGAGUAUCAGAGAAAUCAUAGCAUAUGUGUUCUAAUAUGUCUUUGUCAGCAACAAACGCCAGGGCUCGAAACACAAUAAUAAUUGGAAUUUCAGUGCGAAUAUAGGGAAGUGUACUGCCCUCCUUGGCACUAGUUCGGGAUAACAUCCGCACAAACAUAGUAGUCAGUGGCCGGUUCUGAGACUCUGCCAUGGACCAAACUUCUGCCACAUAUGCAUACUUGUUUGGCUGACUCUUCCUCAUCAUAAGGACACUUCCCAAGCUCUGUAAGAUCUUUCUCUGAAUUCUGGUACAAUGUGCAAUAACUCAAUCUAAGCAUUAUACGAACCUUUCCAAUGAAAACCUUGGUGAAAUCAUUAGUUUCGGUGACUGCUUCACCAUUAUGCCCUUUCUUUAUGACCCCCUUUGUAACAUCCACAUACAAGGGGGCUGAGCAUGUUAGGUUCCUCAACCUUGCAGCUUUAGGAAAUAACGUUGCAGUUUCUCCAUCAGACUCAGUCAACAUGGGCUUGCUCAAAUAAAUCUGGCCAAAGCUUAUCUCAUAGAUGGUCUUAGCGAAAUCAGACUGGUGGCCGGGAUUGUGCUGACUUUCGGGGCGCAUCUCAAUGUCAGCAGACUCAUCUACUAUUUCAUGCAUAGUAUUCUGAAUAAACUCAUCGAAUGAAUCAAGUUGUUGACGCACCAGACCUUUCUCUUCAAAAUAGGCAGAGAUGACAGCCCAUGCGUCCUCCUGCGUGAUCUCAUCAUCGUCUUCUUCCUCCUCAUUUAGAGGCUGAUCGUACUCCUGGUCGUCUUCCAUGGCAAAUUUCGGGCCUUUUUUGGAUAAUUAGUGUUCGUUAAUCAAGUAAUUUACAUAUAUUCUUCAGUAUUAGAGAAUUAUUUGCUGCUUAUGCUUGAUCAGUGGAUACAGAGAGUGUUCAGUGAAACCCUAGAUAAGGUUUUAGAGAGAAAAUAACAAUACGGUCACGAAGUGUAAUUGCGAAAUGCCUAAUGGCUG
rnacentral:misc_RNA from 1 species